GGUCAGCGUCGCGUCGCCAGCGGUUGCCAUUUCCGCAUUUGGUGCCCAGGAAGUGGGCGGCGAGGCUUCUGGGUCUCCAAGACUCUUUUCUCCAUCUUGUGCAGUCUGAGCCUCGCAUCUGCGUCCCGUCCAGCCCCAGAUCCCCAUAGGCCCGGUGAGACUGCUGGGUUCCUUGUGCUGACAAUUUUUUUCAACCAGGCCUUCUAGCCAUUUCCAAGUCCGGGGACGUGAAGAGAGACCUAGGCUGUCUCCAGUGAUUUCUGUAAAGACAGCUGAGCGAGCCAGAACACUAAGAGAGCUCAGUAUGGUGUCCUUAAUCCUAAACAAUUGCCAAAUGUUGUAAUUUCCCAUUUCCAGGCCCUGUAUGUGCAAGCUAUGUUGAGCACUAAGCCACAUCCCACCCUCUUAAGGUUUGUGAGGAGGUUUUCAUUGCUGGUGGUUUAGGUUUGGAAUUUUGAGACAGGGUCUCACAUGGCUAAUACUAUACUCAGUGGUAGCCAAGGCUGGCUUUGAACCCUUGAUCCUCUGACUCUACCUGGUCGUGUAUGAUGGUAAGUCUUUUCUGUCAUGCUCAACAAUGCUUUGCUUUGAGACAGUCUCCUCAAGUUGCCCCGGCUGGCUUGGGGAGGGAGGGGCCUAGCGAAUCUGGUCAGUUUCAGGUAGCUUUUGAAGCUAUCUGAAGCCUUGGAGUUGUUUAUUUCCUCAACUUAAGGAGCUACCCUCCGAAGUAGCUUUUAUUUUGGAGGAAAUCACUGCACAACAAGGAAUUAAGGGGUUAUUUUAAGGCACGUGAACAAGGUAACUGUGGCUACACCACCAAAGAAAAUGGCUCUUCUGGGGGCUGGAGAGAUGUCUCAGCGCUUAAAAACAUAUACUGUUCUUGCAGAGGCCCUUGGUUUGAGGCCCAGCACCCACAGUAGAUGGUUUACAAGUGCCAGGGCAGCUUCUUGUACUGACGCCUACUGGUUUGUGAUUUGGUUCUCCAAUGUGUGUAGACACUGGACGAAUCCCAUCUUUGAUUGUGUAAGUCCACCUAGCCAAUGUCUUAAGGAGCUUAUAUAAACAGUAGGGAGGUCUAAGAGAUGCUCUCAGAUAAGCUGAGCUGCCUAGAAGCGGCUCAGACCAGACAAGCUGCCUGGAAAGAGACCCACUCCAGCUGUCAAGCUGCCCACAAGGUGUGCAGUGCGCCUCAGGCUUCCGGCUUUCUGGGAGGUCACCCAUGCUGCCAUGGGCUUUGUUUGUGACUUAUUUCUGCUCCUGUCAGUGCCCCUCACCCACACUCCUGUAAGCAGCCCCAGAGGAGCUCAUUGGUUUGCCAAGUUGGACGUCGGUGUCCUUCCUGUGAUGUGUCACCAGUUCUCUACCCGGCAUGAGGAGGUGUUUGUUCACGUCUCCCUGGAAAGAGUGUCACACAAUUAUCGCUGAAAGGAUGAUAAGACGUAAAGUGAAACUUAAAAGAAUAAAUUAUAAAAAGGAGAAAAAAACACCCCCAAUUGCAGCAACAAAAAGAAUGGCUGGCCUUCAACUCUUGAUCCUGCUGCCGAAGCCUCCCAGUGAGAUUACAGGCCUGUGCUAUCAGGCCUGGCAGAAACAGACUUUUAUUGAAGAAUAAUAUGCAUACUCAGAUUGGAAAAAUACAUCAUCACCCUCAGGAUUGAGCACAUUCCUGAGCAUGCUCAAUUUGAGUUCAUGUAAGUGUUCAAAAUGAUGGCAGUGGUCUGAGGGGCUGACUCAGUUGUGUAGAGUCUUGCUGCCAAGCCUGAGGACACGAGUUUGAGUCCGAAGACCCUCAGGAAACCCAGCAAGCUGUCCUCUGAGUGUCACAUACUUCCCGUGGCACACAGCACGUAAAUAUCCCACAAAUAUCCACAAAAAUGAAGAAACGUAAUAGUAA